UACGUAGGUGGCAAGCGUUGUCCGGAUUUACUGGGCGUAAAGGGCGUGCAGGCGGUUUGUUAAGUGCAGGGUGAAAGCUCCCGGCUCAACUGGGAGAGGUCCUUGCAUACUGGCAAUCGAGGGAGGCAGAGGAAAGUGGGAAUUCCCGGUGAUUAGUGGUGAUAUGCGUAGAUAUCGGGAGGAACACCUGUGGCGAAGGGCGGCCGACCUGGGACC
rnacentral:rRNA from 1 species